CCUGACGCAGCGACGCCGCGUGGGUGAUGAAGGCCUUCGGGUCGUAAAGCCCUGUCUGGGGGGACGAACCUCUUGCUGACGAAUAAUCAGCAAGAUUGACGGUACCCCCGAAGGAAGCACCGGCUAACUCUGUGCCAGCAGCCGCGGUAAGACAGAGGGUGCGAGCGUUGUUCGGAAUUACUGGGCGUAAAGGGCGCGUAGGCGGCCUGCUAAGUUCGGUGUGAAAGCCCUCGGCUCAACCGAGGAAGUGCGCCGGAUACUGGCAGACUAGAGUACCGGAGAGGAGGGUGGAAUUCCUGGUGUAGCGGUGAAAUGCGUAGAUAUCAGGGGGAACACCGGUGGCGAAGGCGGCCCUCUGGACGAGUACUGACGCUGAGGCGCGAAAGCGUGGGGAUCAAACAGGAUUAGAUACCCUGGUAGUCCACGCUGUAAACGAUGGGGACUAGGUGUGGGGGGUAUUGACCCCUCCCGUGCCGACGCUAACGCAUUAAGUCCCCCGCCUGGGGAUUACGGCCGCAAGGUUAAAACUCAAAGGAAUUGACGGGGGCCCGCACAAGCGGUGGAGCAUGUGGUUCAAUUCGACGCAACGCGCAGAACCUUACCUGGGCUAGACAACAGGGGACAGUCCCAGAGAUGGGAUCUUCUCUUCGGAGACCUCUGGAUCAGGUGCUGCAUGGCUGUCGUCAGCUCGUGUCGUGAGAUGUUGGGUUAAGUCCCGCAACGAGCGCAACCCCUGUCCUUAGUUGCCCCCGGGUCAUGCCGUGGCACUCUAAGGAGACUGCCGGCGUUAAGCCGGAGGAAGGUGGGGAUGACGUCAAGUCCUCAUGGCCCUUAUGUCCAGGGCUACACACGUGCUACAAUGGGCGAUACAAAGGGACGCAACCUCGCGAGAGUAAGCCAAUCCCAAAAAGUCGCUCUCAGUUCGGAUUGCAGUCUGCAACUCGACUGCAUGAAGGUGGAAUCGCUAGUAAUCGCGGAUCAGCACGCCGCGGUGAAUACGUUCUCGGGCCUUGUACACACCGCCCGUCACACCAUGGAAGCCAGUUGUACCGGAAGCCGGUGCGCCAACCCGAAAGGGAGGUAGCCGUCCAUGGUAUGACUAGUGACUGGGGUG
rnacentral:rRNA from 1 species